rnacentral:rRNA from 1 species
GACGUAGGGGGCAAGCGUUGUUCGGGAUUACUGGGCGUAAAGGGCGCGUAGGCGGCAUGGCAAGUCAGGAGUGAAAGGCCUGGGCUCAACCGAGGAACUGCUUUUGAUACUGCCAAGCUAGAGUGCGGAAGGGGCAACUGGAAUUCCCAGUGUAGCGGUGAAAUGCGUAGAUAUUGGGAAGAACACCUGAAGCGAAGGCGGGUUGCUGGGCCGACACCGACGCUGAGGCGCGAAAGCCAGGGGAGCAAACGGG